rnacentral:lncRNA from 1 species
CACAUCUGCAACUCAUCGUCAAGUACCGCCUUCCUUGGGGCUGUCAGCACCAACAUUGGCGUUAACGAGAGUGCCUGAUGUAGACCACCUAUGCAGCCUCAUCCACCAGACCCUCGGUGAUACCUUGUUUCGUGUAUCUCCAGCAGCGCACCGUUGGCGACCCGUUUACACCAGUGUGACCAAGAAAGCCGGUUGCUCUCAUCUGAUUCCUGAUGGAGGCGAUCGACUUCCGGAGACCCGGUCUCGUGAGGUGCAUUUCCGACGGUUUUCUCGCAUCGAGCCCCAACUACCUGGAAGACGGUUGGCGAGGCUGGUUGGAGGGGCAGACCCUAUGAACGCCGGUGUUGAACACGGGACGACGUAACGUUCUCGCAUGCUGGCCUCGACGUUUCAGGUCGGAGAGACUGGUUCCGCGGCUCGUAGUUCUUACAUACCGACGGUGCAAACGAAUGGUCGGCAAAUGCCUUUGGUCUUGAUCUAAUGUAUCAGAGGGAAACCACCAGCAAACCCUUCUCAUCGGUUACCGUUCAUCUGACAAGGCAUUUGACAGGCUGGCACGCUUUUGUGUGACGCAGAGUUAUAAGAGGGGAGUUGCAGUUACGUCUGUCAGCUUGUGUGUGUGUGUGUGUGUGCGUGUAUGGUGUACCCCGCGAGGCGUGCUUUGUGGAUUUCCUACGUUGUCAGAGGGACGUGUUUCCUAACAGCUUCGUUCACAGUCCUCUCCGUGGAUCGUCCGCACGUCAAUAGGUUGCCGUGCACAGAUGCCGUCGACCUGCCGGGGCGAGCAAUAUCAAUGAAAGCUUGUGCAUGCUCCAACUGUCGCUGUUACCACCCCGACCCCCUCAACUUAUGGCAAAGCUGCUCAACAGUGCACACACAGCAGUGCAUGGAUAUCGCUUUUCGGUGCGCAGCCGACCAGACAUUCCUGAACGUCCGAGUGGUUAAUCGUAUCGAGCGAGCACAUUGCGGCUACAGUAAUCUGAGAUUCAUUGACCUCGGUUGCCAGUGGAGCAGGCGUCGUGCGGCAAGAUGUUCAGUGGGUCUUUGAGUGGGGGACAACGGAGCUAUGGCUGUGCUUUCGAUCUGCAGUGAUAUAGUGGAGCGUUGGGGUGAAGGUAGUGCCUUCAAGGCGUUCGACGGCUCAGCACCAUCGUGGAGAGUGGUGUGGUCCGGCUGUCCAUGGUCGGAGCGGUGAACCUUCAGUGCCUGGUGCGAUAGUCGCGCAGACGGAUUUGCAACACAUGAACAGUGGGCAUCAGUUCGUCAUCCGUGCCGCUUGGUAUUGGCGGGUGAGGGUUUUGUAGUAAUCGGUACGAUGGACAUCGUGAGCAUAGAGGUUCGACGCACCUCACAGCUCUCUCAUGCGCUGCAACAGGCUCCGUUCCAUGCCACGUCAAAGUGACGUAAUUGCGAACCGCUAAAUGCCACCGCAUACUGUGGAAUGGUCAGGAGUAGUCAGAAUUGGAAGGACGAACAUACGGUCGAGGAAGUUCAAAAUCGUGGUGAUAACAAGUAUAGUAGUGGUCGUCGCCGGCAACCACGAACCCGGGCAAUGCCGUUGUUUAUGGAGGUACCUUGCGGAACGCCUGUGUUGGACGUCGAGUGGCAAACAUUUUUUGUGCCGCACCACCACAGACGUGUCGCGUAAGGCAACAAAUGACGUUGGGUGUGGUGAAGAUGCGCUCAAUGGUAUGCUGGUAGAGAUGUGGAAACCUUCUUCACCUUCUGUUUCCUCCAGGGUUGCGCGUAGAAGUGAGGCUGUCGCAGAAAACGUGCUCCUGUGGUCUCACUAUGGAUCGAAACCUGUGAACAAGACAUACUCUGUAAAACAUAUCUGUUG